GAUGAACGCUGGCGGCGUGCUUAACACAUGCAAGUCGAACGGUGAAGCAGAGCUUGCUCUGUGCAUCAGUUGCGAACGGGUGAGUAACACGCGAGCAACCUGCCCCUGUCUCUGGGUUAAGCGCCGUAAACGGCGCCUAAUACUUGCUAUGAGCUGCGACCGCACGGUCAGCUGUUGGAAAGAUCUUUCGGUUUGGGAUGGUUUUACGGGCUAUCAGCUCGUUUGUGAGGUAAUGGCAGACCAAGGCUUCGACGGGUAGCCGGCCUGAGAGGGUGAACGGCCACACUGGGACUGAGAGACGGACCAGACUCGUACGGGAGGCAGCAGUGGAGAGUAUUACGCAAUGGGCGAACGCCUGAUGCGGCAACGCCGCGUGAGGGAUGACGGCCUUCGGGUUGUGAACCUAUUUUAACAGGGAAGAAGCGAAAGUGACGGUACCUGCAGAGAAAGCGCCGGCUAACUACGUG
rnacentral:rRNA from 1 species